CGCUGACUUCACUAAAGUCGNNGAUGAACCCCUUUCGGGCGGGGAUUAGUGGCGAACGGCGUGAGUAACACGUGGGCAACCUGCCCUGGACUCUGGGACAAGCCCUGGAAACUGGGUCUAAUACCGGAUAUGACUGACCCUCCCAUGGUGGAUGGUGUAAAGCUCCUGCGGUGCAUGAUGAGCCCCCGGCCUAUCAGCUUGUUGGGGAGGGAAAGGGUCACCCAGGGGACAAACGGUACCCCGCCCGAAAAGGGGAACCGCCCCCCCGGGACUGAAACCCCGGCCAAAAUCCUUACGGAGGCAGCCGUGGGGAAUAUUUCACAAUGGGGGAAAACCCGAUGCAACUACCCCCCCUGAGGGAAGAAAGGCUUCCGGUUUUAAACCCCUUUCCCCUAGGAAAAAACCAAAAUUACCGUUCCUGCAAAAAAAAGGCCCGGUUAAUUAAUUCCCACCACCCCCGUAAUUUCUUAGGCCCCAGUGUUUCCCCGAAUUAUUGGGCGUUAAAAACUUCUAAGGGGAUUGUCCCCUCCGGCGGUAAAGCCCCGCGUUUAACCCCUGGACUGUCGUCGCCCCCGGCAAGACAAAAUUCCCCCCGGGAAACUGAAAUACCGGUGUAUCGGGCAAAAGCCCCCAAUUCCCGAAGAACCCCCGAGGUGAAAGGCAGUCUCCUGGCCAACACUGAACCUAAAGAACUAAACCCCUGCGGACCCAACAGGAUUAGAUACCCCGGCACUCCACCCCAUAAACCGUGGGCACCAGCGGUGGCGAAAUUUACCACUUUUCUGGGCCCCAAAUAAACCCAAAAAAGCCCCCCCCUGGG
rnacentral:rRNA from 1 species